rnacentral:rRNA from 1 species
UACAGAGGUCCCAAGCGUUGUUCGGAUUUACUGGGCGUAAAGGGUGCGUAGGUGGUCGGGUAAGUCUCAUGUGAAGUCUCCAAGCUUAACUUGGAAAUGGCAUGGGAUACUAUUCGGCUAGAGGAUUGGAGGGGGGACUGGAAUUCCCGGUGUAGCAGUGAAAUGCGUAGAUAUCGGGAGGAACACCGGUGGCGAAGGCGGAUCUCUGGGCCUUACCUGACGCUCAGGCGCGAAAGCGUGGGGAGCAAACAGG